GGAAAAGUGCCCGAAAAUAAGGACCUUCUUGAUAGGAAGACUAACAUGGGCUUAACCCCAUCUUUUCCU
rnacentral:tRNA from 1 species